CACUAUGCUUAGCCCUAAACAUAGAUAGAAUUCCACCCCCCUAUCCGCCCGGGUACUACGAGCAUUAGCUUGAAACCCAAAGGACUUGGCGGUGCUUCAGACCCAUCUAGAGGAGCCUGUUCUAGAACCGAUAACCCCCGUUAAACCUCACCCCUCCUCGUUUCUCCCGCCUAUAUACCGCCGUCGCAAGCUUACCCCGUGAGGGGCUAGUAGUGAGCUUAAUUGGCACAGCCCAAAACGUCAGGUCGAGGUGUAGCUUAUGGAAGGGCAAGAAAUGGGCUACAUUCCCUCGCACAGGGAAUACAGAUAACGCGCUGAAACGCGCAUUUGAAGGUGGAUUUAGUAGUAAGCAGAAAAUAGAGUGUUCUGCUGAAACUGGCUCUGAGGCGCGCACACACCGCCCGUCACUCUCCCCUAACACACCUAAAAUUUCCUUAAAUAAGAUUAUACCUGUGUAAAGGGGAGGCAAGUCGUAA
rnacentral:rRNA from 1 species